CCAUGCAGCUAGGUCUCUGCAACUCUCACAUGGUCACCCAUAAAGCUAAGCAGGGCUGUGCCUGGUCAGUACCAGAAUGGGGGACCACAUGGGAAAGCUAGGUUGCUGUCUGAA
rnacentral:rRNA from 1 species